GAUGAACGCUGGCGGCGUGCCUAACACAUGCAAGUCGAGCGGACUCUAAUGAGCUUGCUUAUUAGAGUUAGCGGCGGACGGGUGAGUAACGCGUGGGUAACCUGCCCUAUGCAGGGGGAUAACACCGAGAAAUCGGUGCUAAUACCGCAUAAGCGCACAGUAUUGCAUGAUACGGUGUGAAAAACUGAGGUGGCAUAGGAUGGACCCGCGUCUGAUUAGCUAGUAGGUGAGGUAACGGCUCACCUAGGCAACGAUCAGUAGCCGACCUGAGGGGGUGAUCGGCCACAUUGGGACUGAGACACGGCCCAAACUCCUACGGGAGGCAGCAGUGGGGAAUAUUGCACAAUGGGGGAAACCCUGAUGCAGCAACGCCGCGUGAAGGAAGACGGUUUUCGGAUUGUAAACUUCUAUCAGCAGGGAUGAUAGUGACAGUACCUGACUAAGAAGCCCCGGCUAACUACGUG
rnacentral:rRNA from 1 species